rnacentral:rRNA from 1 species
GAUGAACGCUGGCGGCGUGCCUAAUACAUGCAAGUCGAGCGAACAGACGAGGAGCUUGCUCCUCUGACGUUAGCGGCGGACGGGUGAGUAACACGUGGAUAACCUACCUAUAAGACUGGGAUAACUUCGGGAAACCGGAGCUAAUGCCGGAUAAUAUAUUGAACCGCAUUGUUCAAUAGUGAAAGACGGUUUUGCUGUCACUUAUAGAUGGAUCCGCGCCGCAUUAGCUAGUUGGUAAGGUAACGGCUUACCAAGGCAACGAUGCGUAGCCGACCUGAGAGGGUGAUCGGCCACACUGGAACUGAGACACGGUCCAGACUCCUACGGGAGGCAGCAGUAGGGAAUCUUCCGCAAAGGGCGAAAGCUUGACGGAGCAACGCCGCGUGAGUGAUGAAGGUCUUCGGAUCGUAAAACUCUGUUAUUAGGGAAGAACAAAUGUGUAAGUAACUAUGCACGUCUUGACGGUACCUAAUCAGAAAGCCACGGCUAACUACGUG